rnacentral:rRNA from 1 species
UACGUAGGGGGCAAGCGUUGUCCGGAAUCACUGGGCGGAAAGGGUGCGUAGGCGGGUCUUUAAGUCAGGGGUGAAAUCCUGGAGCUCAACUCCAGAACUGCCUUUGAUACUGAGGAUCUUGAGUUCGGGAGAGGUGAGUGGAACUGCGAGUGUAGAGGUGAAAUUCGUAGAUAUUCGCAAGAACACCAGUGGCGAAGGCGGCUCACUGGCCCGAUACUGACGCUGAGGCACGAAAGCGUGGGGAGCAAACAGG